rnacentral:rRNA from 1 species
GACGAACGCUGGCGGCGCGCUUAACACAUGCGAGUCGAGCGAGAACCAGGGCUUCGGCCCUGGGGACAGCGGCGAACGGGUGAGUAACACGUGGAUAACCUGCCCUCGGCACCGGGAUAGCCCGGGGAAACCCGGAUUAAUACCGGAUGGCCCUUCCGGCUCACGAGCCGGUCGGAAAAGGUAGCUUCGGCCUCCGGCCGAGGAUGGGUCCGCGGCGGAUUAGGUUGUAGGUGGGGUAACGGCCCACCAAGGCUCCGAUCCGUAGCUGGUCUGAGAGGACGAUCAGCCACACUGGGACUGAGACACGGCCCAGACUCCUACGGGAGGCAGCAGUGGGGAAUCUUGCGCAAUGGGCGAAAGCCUGACGCAGCGACGCCGCGUGAGGGAGGAAGGCCUUCGGGUUGUAAACCUCUUUCAGGAGGGACGAAGCUACUCGGGUGAAUAGCCCAGAGGGUGACGGUACCUCCAGAAGAAGCCCCGGCUAACUACGUGCCAGCCGCCGCAGUAA